GACGAACCGAGCGAACGUUGUUCGGAAUCACUGGGCUUAAAGGGUGCGUAGGCGGGCUGCCAAGUUUGGGGUGAAAUCCUCCGGCUCAACCGGGGAAGUGCCUUGAAUACUGGCGGUCUCGAGGGAGGUAGGGGCGUGCGGAACUAACGGUGGAGCGGUGAAAUGCGUUGAUAUCGUUAGGAACUCCGGUGGCGAAGGCGGCACGCUGGACCUUUUCUGACGCUGAGGCACGAAAGCCAGGGGAGCGAACGGG
rnacentral:rRNA from 1 species